rnacentral:rRNA from 1 species
AGCGAACGCUGGCGGCGUGCCUAACACAUGCAAGUCGAACGUGAAAGCGAUCAUUCCCAAGUAAAGUCGCGUACGGGUGAGUAACAUGUAGCUAAUCUACCCUACCCUCUGCAAUAACCUGCCGACAGGCUGGCUAAUACUGUAUAGAUCGACGGCAUCCGCAAUUUGGUUUUUCUUGAAAGGGAUCCUCUAAAAAGGCCUUCGUUCUGGCUUAUCCCUGCGUUCGAUCAGCUAGUUGGUGAGGUAAAAUCUUACCAAGGCAAUGACGGGUAGCUGGUAUGAGAGGACGGUCAGCCACACUGGAACUGAAACACGGUACAGACGGCUACGGGAGGGAGCAGGAGGGAAUCGUGCGGAAGGGACGAGAGACAGACGAAGAAACGCGGCGGGAGGGAAGAAGGCCGUCGGGUUGGAGAGGUCUGUCGAGGGGGACGAAAAUGCUUGGAGUUCACAGCAACAGGAAGUGACGGUAACACGAAAGGAAGCACCGGCUAACUCCGUG